GAUGAACGCUGGCGGCGUGCUUAACACAUGCAAGUCGAACGGAAAGGCCUCUGCUUGCAGGGGUACUCGAGUGGCGAACGGGUGAGUAACACGUGGGUGAUCUGCCCUGCACUUCGGGAUAAGCCUGGGAAACUGGGUCUAAUACCGGAUAGGACAAUGGUUUGGAUGCUGUUGUGGAAAGUUUUUCGGUGUGGGAUGAGCUCGCGGCCUAUCAGCUUGUUGGUGGGGUAAUGGCCUACCAAGGCGUCGACGGGUAGCCGGCCUGAGAGGGUGUACGGCCACAUUGGGACUGAGAUACGGCCCAGACUCCUACGGGAGGCAGCAGUGGGGAAUAUUGCACAAUGGGCGCAAGCCUGAUGCAGCGACGCCGCGUGGGGGAUGACGGCCUUCGGGUUGUAAACUCCUUUCGCUAAGGACGAAGCGUUUUUGUGACGGUACCUGGAGAAGAAGCACCGGCUAACUACGUG
rnacentral:rRNA from 1 species